UACGUAGGGGGCUAGCGUUGUCCGGAUUUAUUGGGCGUAAAGAGCGUGUAGGCGGCCUGAAAGGUCAGCUGUGAAAACUCGAGGCUCAACCUCGAGACGUCGGUUGAAACCAUCUGGCUAGAGUCCGGAAGAGGAGUGUGGAAUUCCCGGUGUAGCGGUGAAAUGCGCAGAUAUCGGGAAGAACACCCGUGGCGAAGGCGGCACUCUGGGACGGUACUGACGCUGAGACGCGAAAGCGUGGGGAGCGAACAGG
rnacentral:rRNA from 1 species